rnacentral:rRNA from 1 species
UUAAGCGACUAAGCGUACACGGUGGAUGCCCUGGCAGUCAGAGGCGAUGAAGGACGUGCUAAUCUGCGAUAAGCGUCGGUAAGGUGAUAUGAACCGUUAUAACCGGCGAUUUCCGAAUGGGGAAACCCAGUGUGUUUCGACACACUAUCAUUAACUGAAUCCAUAGGUUAAUGAGGCGAACCGGGGGAACUGAAACAUCUAAGUACCCCGAGGAAAAGAAAUCAACCGAGAUUCCCCCAGUAGCGGCGAGCGAACGGGGAGGAGCCCAGAGCCUGAAUCAGUGUGUGUGUUAGUGGAAGCGUCUGGAAAGGCGCGCGAUACAGGGUGACAGCCCCGUACACAAAAAUGCACAUGCUGUGAGCUCGAUGAGUAGGGCGGGACACGUGGUAUCCUGUCUGAAUAUGGGGGGACCAUCCUCCAAGGCUAAAUACUCCUGACUGACCGAUAGUGAACCAGUACCGUGAGGGAAAGGCGAAAAGAACCCCGGCGAGGGGAGUGAAAAAGAACCUGAAACCGUGUACGUACAAGCAGUGGGAGCACGCUUCGGCGUGUGACUGCGUACCUUUUGUAUAAUGGGUCAGCGACUUAUAUUCUGUAGCAAGGUUAACCGAAUAGGGGAGCCGAAGGGAAACCGAGUCUUAACUGGGCGUUAAGUUGCAGGGUAUAGACCCGAAACCCGGUGAUCUAGCCAUGGGCAGGUUGAAGGUUGGGUAACACUAACUGGAGGACCGAACCGACUAAUGUUGAAAAAUUAGCGGAUGACUUGUGGCUGGGGGUGAAAGGCCAAUCAAACCGGGAGAUAGCUGGUUCUCCCCGAAAGCUAUUUAGGUAGCGCCUCGUGAAUUCAUCUCCGGGGGUAGAGCACUGUUUCGGCAAGGGGGUCAUCCCGACUUACCAACCCGAUGCAAACUGCGAAUACCGGAGAAUGUUAUCACGGGAGACACACGGCGGGUGCUAACGUCCGUCGUGAAGAGGGAAACAACCCAGACCGCCAGCUAAGGUCCCAAAGUCAUGGUUAAGUGGGAAACGAUGUGGGAAGGCCCAGACAGCCAGGAUGUUGGCUUAGAAGCAGCCAUCAUUUAAAGAAAGCGUAAUAGCUCACUGGUCGAGUCGGCCUGCGCGGAAGAUGUAACGGGGCUAAACCAUGCACCGAAGCUGCGGCAGCGACGCUGAUGCGUUGUUGGGUAGGGGAGCGUUCUGUAAGCCUGUGAAGGUGUACUGUGAGGUAUGCUGGAGGUAUCAGAAGUGCGAAUGCUGACAUAAGUAACGAUAAAGCGGGUGAAAAGCCCGCUCGCCGGAAGACCAAGGGUUCCUGUCCAACGUUAAUCGGGGCAGGGUGAGUCGACCCCUAAGGCGAGGCCGAAAGGCGUAGUCGAUGGGAAACAGGUUAAUAUUCCUGUACUUGGUGUUACUGCGAAGGGGGGACGGAGAAGGCUAUGUUGGCCGGGCGACGGUUGUCCCGGUUUAAGCGUGUAGGCUGGUUUUCCAGGCAAAUCCGGAAAAUCAAGGCUGAGGCGUGAUGACGAGGCACUACGGUGCUGAAGCAACAAAUGCCCUGCUUCCAGGAAAAGCCUCUAAGCAUCAGGUAACAUCAAAUCGUACCCCAAACCGACACAGGUGGUCAGGUAGAGAAUACCAAGGCGCUUGAGAGAACUCGGGUGAAGGAACUAGGCAAAAUGGUGCCGUAACUUCGGGAGAAGGCACGCUGAUAUGUAGGUGAGGUCCCUCGCGGAUGGAGCUGAAAUCAGUCGAAGAUACCAGCUGGCUGCAACUGUUUAUUAAAAACACAGCACUGUGCAAACACGAAAGUGGACGUAUACGGUGUGACGCCUGCCCGGUGCCGGAAGGUUAAUUGAUGGGGUUAGCCGCAAGGCGAAGCUCUUGAUCGAAGCCCCGGUAAACGGCGGCCGUAACUAUAACGGUCCUAAGGUAGCGAAAUUCCUUGUCGGGUAAGUUCCGACCUGCACGAAUGGCGUAAUGAUGGCCAGGCUGUCUCCACCCGAGACUCAGUGAAAUUGAACUCGCUGUGAAGAUGCAGUGUACCCGCGGCAAGACGGAAAGACCCCGUGAACCUUUACUAUAGCUUGACACUGAACAUUGAGCCUUGAUGUGUAGGAUAGGUGGGAGGCUUUGAAGUGUGGACGCCAGUCUGCAUGGAGCCGACCUUGAAAUACCACCCUUUAAUGUUUGAUGUUCUAACGUUGACCCGUAAUCCGGGUUGCGGACAGUGUCUGGUGGGUAGUUUGACUGGGGCGGUCUCCUCCUAAAGAGUAACGGAGGAGCACGAAGGUUGGCUAAUCCUGGUCGGACAUCAGGAGGUUAGUGCAAUGGCAUAAGCCAGCUUGACUGCGAGCGUGACGGCGCGAGCAGGUGCGAAAGCAGGUCAUAGUGAUCCGGUGGUUCUGAAUGGAAGGGCCAUCGCUCAACGGAUAAAAGGUACUCCGGGGAUAACAGGCUGAUACCGCCCAAGAGUUCAUAUCGACGGCGGUGUUUGGCACCUCGAUGUCGGCUCAUCACAUCCUGGGGCUGAAGUAGGUCCCAAGGGUAUGGCUGUUCGCCAUUUAAAGUGGUACGCGAGCUGGGUUUAGAACGUCGUGAGACAGUUCGGUCCCUAUCUGCCGUGGGCGCUGGAGAACUGAGGGGGGCUGCUCCUAGUACGAGAGGACCGGAGUGGACGCAUCACUGGUGUUCGGGUUGUCAUGCCAAUGGCACUGCCCGGUAGCUAAAUGCGGAAGAGAUAAGUGCUGAAAGCAUCUAAGCACGAAACUUGCCCCGAGAUGAGUUCUCCCUGACUCCUUGAGAGUCCUGAAGGAACGUUGAAGACGACGACGUUGAUAGGCCGGGUGUGUAAGCGCAGCGAUGCGUUGAGCUAACCGGUACUAAUGAACCGUGAGGCUUAACCUU